AGCGAACGCUGGCGGCAGGUUUAACACAUGCAAGUCGAGCGGGCAUCUUCGGAUGUCAGCGGCAGACGGGUGCGUAACACGUGGGAACGUACCCUUCGGUUCGGAACAACUCUGGGAAACUGGAGCUAAUACCGGAUACGCCCUUAUGGGGAAAGGUUUACUGCCGAAGGAUCGGCCCGCGUCUGAUUAGCUAGUUGGUGGGGUAACGGCCUACCAAGGCGACGAUCAGUAGCUGGUCUGAGAGGAUGAUCAGCCACACUGGGACUGAGACACGGCCCAGACUCCUACGGGAGGCAGCAGUGGGGAAUAUUGGACAAUGGGCGCAAGCCUGAUCCAGCCAUGCCGCGUGAGUGAUGAAGGCCUUAGGGUUGUAAAGCUCUUUUGUCCGGGACGAUAAUGACGGUACCGGAAGAAUAAGCCCCGGCUAACUUCGUG
rnacentral:rRNA from 1 species